GAGGAGCUUUGUACUCUCUGAGUAUUGCCCUCUGGCAUACAAGUGGUUGUAGGAGAGGGCUGGACAAUGCCCAUGGCAAAAAGGUGAUGUUGUAGGAGCUAUGUUAUGUGGUUGCUUUUUGCCUUGUGAUUUCCAUCCUCCAUCUCCCUUGUGUUCUUCCAAAAUAGGGCUUCCAAGGUGCACCUCAACCCUCGGAGCCUUUUCCUAUCCCCACAACGUUUCCCUCUUGCUAUGGGCUUCAUACCCUGUGAUCAGGUGAUGGAACCUGCUUUAUCAUUCAGCAAGACCUCGAUUACGUCCUGGAUCUCACAGAAGCUGACUGCGACCCUGUGUACAAGGUAGCUUCCUGGGAGAAGCAGAUUUACACGUGCUGCAGAGACGGGAUAGUGAGGAGAUACCAGCUUUCCAAUCUGUAAGCACCUGGAUCGACCACGUAGCAGAGGGAAGAGCCAAAAGGGCUCCUCCGAGCUGGUU